UACGAAAGGUGCGAGCGUUAAUCGGAAUUACUGGGCGUAAAGCGUGCGUAGGCGGCUAUUUAAGUCGGAUGUGAAAGCCCCGGGCUCACCCUGGGAGGUGCAUCCGAUACUGGGUAGCUAGAGUGUAGUAGAGGGAGGUGGAAUUUCCGGUGUAGCGGUGAAAUGCGUAGGGAUCGGAAGGAACACCAGUGGCGAAGGCGGCCUCCUGGACUGAACCUGACGCUGAGGCGCGAAAGCGUGGGGAGCGAACAGG
rnacentral:rRNA from 1 species